CGGAAAUAUCACAUUUACAUAAGUAUUCAGACCCUUUACUCAGUACUUUGUUGAAGCACCUUCAGCAGAGAUUACAGCCUCAGGUCUUCUUGGGUAUGAUGCUACAAGCUUGGCACACCUGUAUUUGGGGAGUUUCUCCCAUUCUUCUCUGCAGAUCCUCUCAAGCUCUGUCAGGUUGGAUGGGAAGCAUUGCUGCACAGCUAUUUUCAGGUCUCUCCAGAGAUGUUUGAUUAGGUUCAAGUCCGGGCUCUGGCUGGGCCACUCAAGGACAUUCAGAGACUUGUCACGAAGCCACUCCUGCGUUGUCUUGGCUGUGUGCUUAGAGUUGUUGUCCUGUUGGAAGGUGAACCUUCACCCCAGUCUGAGGUCCCUGAGUGCUCUGGAGCAGGUUUUCAUCAAGGAUCUCUCUGUACUUUGCUCCGGUCAUCUUUCGCUUGAUCCUGACUAGUCUCCCAGAACCUGCCGCUGAAAAACAUCCCCACAGCAUGAUGCUGCCACCACCAUGCUUCACCAUAACGAUGGUACCAGGUUUCCUUCAGACAUGAUGCUUGGCAUUCAGGCCAAAAAGUUCAUUCUUGGUUUCAUCAGACCAGAGAAUAUUGUUUCUCGUGGUCUGAGAGUCCUUUAGGUGCCUUUUGGCAAACUCCAAGUGGGCUGUCAUGUGACUUUUACUGAGAAGUGGCUUCGGUCUGGUCACUGUACCAAUGGAGGCUGGUGACCAGAGAAGGAGGAUUGGGGAUGGGGGACCCAUGAGGUGGAGAAUGGGGGACCCAUGAUAUCGUUACGGAACGCAUGGCGAGGUCAAAGUGUAUUUCAAAAAUCGUCAAGAGUAAUUAUUUUAUUUAUAGUUACAAUAUUAUGGGGAAUGGGAAUGAGAGGGUUACUCACACAACGUUGGGAAGGGAUCACAGCAGUGGCGACUGAACGAGGGUACGAGGCAUGCGUUGAAGUGUUCAGAAGCUUGACUUCAGUGCAGGACAGGAUUUGACUGGGCAAGACAAAAAAAAAGUAACACAACACACUACACAGUUAGACAAAAGAGCUCAGAAUGAGUUAGUCCAAGCAAGGAGUAGUGCACUAUAUAGGGCAUAGGGUGCCAUUUGGGAAGCAAAACAUUGACGUGUAAUAAUGUGGUUGUGUACGUGAUUGACUCUACAUACAAUAAAUGGAUAGGGGUACUCACAGUGCUCGGAGAGGAAACAUUCAAUGGAUGAGAGGGCACAUGAGACAUGGCUUCAGUUCCUGUCAGGAGAGAUUUGACGAUGGUAGUAGUGGAGUGGUUAUCACCUCUUAAAAUCAGGGAACAGGAGGGGACUUAGCUGGAAAUACAAAUAGCAGAUAGAUUCCAUUACAGCUGCGCCGUCGAUAGGUUUGAACAACAAGUUUCUCCAUGAAGUCAAACAUCUCACCCACUUGACAGAUCAAAAUAGCCCAAGAAACAUUCCUGAAUAAAGCCCUGAUCAUCCAGGUCCCAGAGCGGUCAGACUGGUGGCACCAUAGGUCCCAGAGCGGUCAGACUGGUGGCACCAUAGGUCCCAGAGCGGUCAGACUGGUGGUACCAUAGAUCCCAGAGCGGUCAGACUGGUGGCACCAUAGGUCCCAGAGCGGUCAGACUGGUGGAACCAUAGGUCCCAGAGCGGUCAGACUGGUGGCACCAUAGGUCCCAGAGCGGUCAGACUGGUGGUACCAUAGGUUCCAGAGUGGUCAAACUGGUGGCACCAUCGGUCCCAGAGCGGUCAGAGUGGUCAGACUGGUGGCAGGUCCCAGAGUGGUCAGACUGGUGGCACCAUAGGUCCCAGAGUGGUCAGAGUGGUCAGACUGGUGGCACCAUAGGUCCCAGAGUGGUCAGAGCGGUCAGACUGGUGGCACCAUAGGUCCCAGAGCGGUCAGACUGAUGGCAGGUCCCAGAGUGGUCAGCCUGGUGGCACCAUAGGUCCCAGAGCAGUCAGACUCGUGGCACCAUAGGUCCAGAGCGGUCAGACUGGUGGUACCAUAGGUCCCAGAGUGGUCAGACUGGUGCCACCAUAGGUCCCAGAGCAGUCAAACUGGUGGCACCAUAGGUCCCAGAGCAGUCAGACUGGUGGCACCAUAGGUCCCAGAGCGGUCAGACUGGUGACACCAUAGGUCCCAGAGUGGUGGAGGCAAUUUUUACCCCCUUGGGCCCCAUAGUUUUUCCAUAUUUGUUAACCUAACCAUGAAAACUCUGGACCCUAUAAAAGUAUGACAGCGAUUAAUCAGUUGUAAAAAGGUUCUAUAAGGCCCAUGAUGGGACCAGUUUUCUCCUAAUCAGGAGAACAAACUCCUGGCCGGGGGGGGUGAAAACCCUGUCAAACUGCAGCUACCUUAUUCUUGUUCAUAUGAAUUAUAUUUAGACUAGAUUAGGAGGGGGAUUUCUUCUACCCAGACACAGAGACAACAACUGAUAGACAAUAGAACUCACAGGGCUGAGCUUGCUUUAUGCAUGUUUGCAUCACGCAGGUCUACGCAACUGUUGAACUUACAAAACAUUAUAAACUGGGUGGUUCAAGGCCUGAAUGCUGAUUGGCUUACAGCUGUAGUAUAUCAGACCUUAUACCACGGGUAUGACGAAAUUCAUCUUUUUAAUGCUCUAAUUAAGUUGGUAACCGGUUUAUAAUAGCAAUAAGGCACCUCACGUGUUUUGCGGUAUAUGGCGAAAUAUGCCACAGGCUAAGGGCUGUAUCCAGGCACUCCGCAUUGCGUCGUGUAUAAGACCAGUCCUUAGCCGUUGUAUAUUGGCCAUAUACCACACCUCCUCGGGCCUUAUAAAACAUUAAGUCACAUAUGUCAUCACUAUUGUGUUGAUUCAUUUUAGUUAAGCAUUUUGAAAUUGAAAACGGACGUGCUACCUGUCCCAGACCUGCUGUUUUCAACUCUCUAGAGACAGCAGGAGCGGUAGAGAUACUCUCAAAGAUCGGCUAUGAAAAAGCCAACUGACACUUACUCUUGUGUUGCUGACUUGUUGCACCCUCGACAACUACUAUGAUUAUUAUUAUUUGACAAUGCUGGUCAUCUAUGAACAUUUGAACAUCUAGGCCAUGUGCUGUUAUAAUCUCCACCCGGCACAGCCAGAAGAGGACUGGCCACCCCUCAUAGCCUGGUUCCUCUCUAGGUUUCUUCCUAGGUUUUGGCCUUUCUAGGGAGUUUUUCCUAGCCACCGUGCUUCUACACCUGCAUUGCUUGCUGUUUGGGGUUUUAGGCUGGGUUUCUGUACAGCACUUUGCGAUAUCAGCUGAUGUAAGAAGGGCUAUAUAAAUGCAUUUGAUUUAAUUUGAUUUGAAAACGUGUAGGCAGCCUAGCCAGACCAAUUUAUGAAUAUAAACCAAAUUUGAACACAUUCGUAUUUUCUCCUGGCACACAGAUGAGACUACAAAUACAUAACGUUAACAAUGAGUUACUCUGACCAAAUGGACAGCACGCACAGGCUGUAGCCUACAGUGGAUCAGACUGUGUGUUUCAUUCUAUACAGUAUGUCAGAUCUUUAAUGUUUAGGUUUAGCCGAGGCAGCUACAACAUUUAUGUAUUAUUUAUGUAUUUAUUUAUGUAUUCCCUUGUUUAGUUUUUUUUUGCUUGUGUUUACCCAGAGUGAUUAUGUGUUAUCAUCUUUUCUAAAUUAAAACGUUUUUUUUAAAGUUAUUUAAUUGAAUUAAUGUAAUUUAAUGGAUGAUGAGAUAGAAGCUAUUGAAUUGAUUUCGACAUCCCAGAAAAAAAGACAGUAGAAUGUAGACUGUUCCAUGUGUUCAGGAAGUAAAGCAUCGCAACGUAGACUGUUCCAUGUGUUCAGGAAGUAAAGCAUCGCAACGUAGACUGUUCCAUGUGUUCAAGAAGUAAAGCAUCGCAACGUAGACUGUUCCAUGUGUUCAGGAAGUAAAGCAUCGCAACUUAGACUGUUCCAUGUGUUCAGGAAGUAAAGCAUCGCAACGUGCUAUUACCGCUGCAAGCUCCUUGUUAGAGCAACUUUCCCUCUCGUCCUGUCCUCUAAAACACAAUUCUCUCAGGUCCCCCCCCCCAAAAAAAAACAUCUCUGUUUCUUCUUACUUUUUCGUUGUGUUGCGCAGUUUGAAUACGCAGAUUUUAGUCAUAAUCGAUGGGGCUUUUCUCCCCAGAAGCUCGAAUCUGAUGUGGGUGUUUUUAAUGCUCCCUGUGUUUUUUUUUUUUUGCCGUUUAGCUGAACAAUCCAUGUUUUUUUAGGUCACUGUACCCCUCUUUCACCCCAAGGAUGACUCUCCAAAAAGCAGGCAAGGCCAGCAAUACAGGCGGCUUGAUGAGAGACUCCUUGUCAACCAGCUAACGUUAUACUUUUGAUACCAGUUGGUAUUGAAAUCCCUCACAUUUUCAUCCUUCAUCAUGAAACUGAUCUCAGGUAGAGGUCGACCCUCGGUUUUAAUUCGCACUUUUUCCGUGUUCCCCAGAGAAUGAAAGGGGGUUUUCAACAAAAAGUAAACAAAAUUUGCAGUAACGUAGGCGGUGAAAACUGCACACUGGAGCUGGCUGGUUGCUAGCUUCUGCUACUGGUGUAUGCAAGGCAAAUUGAACAGGACGCAAUAAUACAGUUUUAAAACCAAGAAAACGUAAUGUAAAGGAAAUGUCAAGUAUUUUGUACUAGUUCCAGUACAUGGGUACAAUCAGAGUUACAGUACACGGGUACAAUCCUGGUUACAAUCAGAGGUAGCCAAACAAAUGCUUUUUUGCCUUGGUCACUUUUUAUUUUCAACAAGCAAUUAUUUUGGCAUUCCUUGUUGCUUAUAUAGUCUUACCUGAUACCCAGGCUACAGUGAUUACUAAAGCAGGCAUACAGUACAGUAGUGACCAAUUUAGGUUUUGCCUGGUAAUCAGGUUUGCUUGCCAUCUCAGCAUACAAGCCAAAUAGAGAGAGCUGGCUGUGUGCCCUACACUCUGCCUUCAGCCAUUAGACCAAUUGUACAGCCCCAAAUGGCACCCUAUUCCCUAUAUAGUGCACUUAUUUUGAC
rnacentral:lncRNA from 1 species